rnacentral:rRNA from 1 species
UACGAAGGGGGCUAGCGUUGCUCGGAAUCACUGGGCGUAAAGGGUGCGUAGGCGGGUCUUUAAGUCAGGGGUGAAAUCCUGGAGCUCAACUCCAGAACUGCCUUUGAUACUGAGGAUCUUGAGUACGGGAGAGGUGAGUGGAACUGCGAGUGUAGAGGUGAAAUUCGUAGAUAUUCGCAAGAACACCAGUGGCGAAGGCGGCUCACUGGCCCGUUACUGACGCUGAGGCGCGAAAGCGUGGGGAGCAAACAGG